rnacentral:sRNA from 20 species
AGGAGAAGGUUGGUAUUUUGUAGGCAAAAAUCUACGAAGCCAUUUUCGAAGCCCUUCUCCUAGGUCAAAGUUUUGAAGUCUAGGUUCGAUUCCUAGUAUCUCAACCGAAAAGGGGAUAUAGUUCAACUGGUAGAGCACUGUAUUUUUCAUACAGCGAAAGGCACAAGACUUCGAACAUUAUAGCAGUUAGUAGUUGCCUAAACCCAUUGCAAUAUAUGGGACAGUAGAGGUCGCAAGCCUAUACUGUGCGGUGAACAUUCUAGUAGGCCGCCUCAACAGAGGACGUCUAUGAAUGGUGAGGGAGCCAACCCUUGUAAUUGCAAAGCGUGGUUUUAAUACCACUAUGCAAGCCAAGUCUAAGUCGCUGAACAUCUAUAAUGUAUUAGGCAUCAGGUAAGUACACAAUUCUCUAAGCGAUGAGAAGCGUGUGGAAAAUUAGGGAAGGGCUACGGCUAUAAUCCUAAGAAAGCUUAUCUACAAGCGGAGGUAUUCUCAGAACGCU